rnacentral:lncRNA from 1 species
GUGUCUUAGAAAGAUGAACUCUUUUUGGUCUUGUAGCGGUAAAGAAGCCUCUUCUUCUUGCUGGAAGUGUUGUCAAUAGUGAGAACUAGCUUUCCAGAUUCAUUAUUGAUGAAGGUGUUGCGGAUGGGACCUGCUUCUAGAGACUGUGACACCAUCUUCUUGCUCUUCUGGACUAUAAUGGUGUAUGACCCCUGGUCAAAUGGUACAAAUUCCACCUUGUAGUUUACUUCCCAAUUCAAAACCGAAAGUUCCCAGAUCGAUGUGCUUCCAACCUGACAGUCACACUCAAUCAUUUAGGCACACAAUACAAAAGAAUUGAUUUGAUUGUAACGUUAGUGAAGUACCUCUUCGGCAGGUAUCUCAAUGGUCACGGUUGAUCCUGCCUUGAUACUAAUUUCUGAAACAGCAGCAUCUUGGUCACUGAACUCAAAAUCAUUUUCUCUCUUGAAGCCACCGUACUGCACUGGGACUUCUUCAGCAGGAAUGUACCUUCAAGAAUCAAAUUGCCAUCAGUCUUCCAACUCAACACCAGCUGAGUGAUAACCAAGGAUUAAAGAUAUGGAAUACUUACUUGAGAAGGGUGUCAGUGACCUUUGCUGGGCAAGCCACCAUGAACUUGCUCUUAGAUCUUUGCGUUAGGAAAGGAGAUAACAGUGCAUUGAGGGCAUAGAACCAGAAUGGAACGUUUAUGAAGAUCUAUAAUAAGAGUUCCCAGAUAUCAAGCACAGUUUAAACUCCCAAAUCAGAUAUGUAAAUUGAAUGAGAAACUUACAUUUCUUGCUACAUAUUCAGGAUAAUUGUCUUGUAAGGCUCCCACAGCUUGUUUCAUGGCAAUCCUUAGUUCUUUCCUUGAGGGUCCAGGAGAGUUCUUGAGAUCAUUGAUUUGAAGCAAAGAAGUGACACCACCGGGCCUCAAGUCAAGCUUUUGAAUACCCUUUUCCAUCAACUGAAAUCUCCAUCUUAAAAAGUGCCUGCGAUUCUCGCCCGUCCCGAAUGUCUUCUUAUAAAGCUCUUCAUCCGCAAACACUCCAUAGAUGUUGUAACAGACGGGAUGGCCUUCCUUAUCAAUCCCAUUCAUGUAAGCGGCGGACCCUAGCUCAGCCCCAAACUCCUCCUCCAACACUGAAUCAAUGUUGCCAUCCUUCC